AGCCCUGUGGUGAGUAUCACGUUGAAUUGCAAAUUCGAAGACGCAGUCUAGGUUCUGCCGGGGCUUC
rnacentral:tRNA from 1 species